rnacentral:lncRNA from 1 species
GGGCUGCCAUAACCAAAUGCCGCAGCCUGGGUGGCUUCAACAGAAUUUCAUUUCCCCACAGUCCUGGGAGCUGGAAGCCCAAGGUCCAGGCGCUAUCUUCCAAUUCAGCCAUUCGGAGGUCUUGGCGGUUGAAACUUCAAGACAGGAAUUUGGAGUGAGGACACAGUUCAUUCCAUACACAAAGACAGGAGCGGCUUCAUCCAGAACCCGGAAGGUCUGUCCCUCUACAGAAACCCAGAUCUAAUCGUGUCGCAUCCCACACCAGAUGGGAUCUCACUAUGUUGCCCAGGCUAGAGUGCAUUGGCUAUUCACAGACGAUCAUGAUGCAAUCAUAGUGCACCACAUCCUCAAACUCCUGGACUCAAGUGAUCCUCCCUCCACAGCCUCCCAAGUAGCUGAGACUGCAGGCACACGCCACUGCACCCAGCCCUGGACUAUUAACUUUUAUAUUUUUUAUAUCCAUAGAGUCAGGCAGCUUCUGAUGCAUAGUAACCAUGUAAUAAAUGUUGAAUGAAUAAAUGUGAAUGACCAUA